rnacentral:tRNA from 1 species
GUUUUAAUAGUUUAAACAAUAAAAUAUUGAUCUUGUAAAUCAAUGAAAAGAAUAAAAUUCUUUUAAAACU